UCUCUGGCUGGUGCACUCUUC
rnacentral:piRNA from 1 species